CGCGCUCGCUCACCGCACCAGGCGCUGCCCGGCCUCUCAGCUCCCGGACGUUGAGCUCCGAGGAAUUAGUUAAUGGGGGUCAGAAUCUCGGGGAAAGCAGCAACCCUCUGGUGCUACCCGGCGUCUCUUGGCAAAGCCUCUUAGGAGCUGUACCAAAUAGUGAUGCUCACCGAUACCAAACAAGUGAAUACUCUUCACAGUCCCUCUAAAAGAAAGCCUUCAAAGUCAUGGCUAGCAGUUUUCAAGAGAAUCGUCACUCAGUAAUAGAGCACUUCUGGAAAUAUUUCCCACUAUGAAGAAUAUUAUUUUUAAAAA